CCAGGCGGCUGCCAAAGAUGGUGGAGGGGCAGGUCCUGGUGCUUGAUGGCUGAGGCCAUCUCCUGGCUGCUUGGCAGCCAUCAUGGCCAAACAGGUACUGCUGGGCCAGAAGGUGGUGGUUGUGUGCUGUGAGGGCAUCAGUAUUUCUGGCAAUUUCUACAGAAACAAGCUAAAGUAUCUGGCCUCCCUCCGCAAAUAGAUGAACACCAACCCUUCCCAGGGGCCCAACCAUUUCUGGGUCCCCAGCCACAUUUUCUGGCGGACUACGCGAGGCAUGCUGCCCCACAAGACUAAGCGAGGCCAGGCUGCCCUGGACCGCCUCGAGGUGUUUGAUGGGAUCCCACCGCCCUAUGACAAGAAAAAGUGGAUGGUGAAUCCUGCUGCCCUCAAGGUUGUACGUCUGAAGCCUACGAGAAAGUUUGCCUACCCGAGGCGUCUGGCUCAUGAGGUUGGCUGGAAGUACCAGGUAGUGACAGCCACCCUGGAGGAAAAGAGGAAGGAGAAGGCCAAGAUCCAUUACUGGAAGAAACAGGCCAAAAAGAACGUGGAGGAGAAAAUUGACAAAUACACAGAGGGCCUCAAGACCCAUGGACGCCUGGUCUGAGCCUGAUAAAGACUUUAUUCCUCAUGCUUGGCCUGGCCUGCCCUUCCUCCAUCACCACCCUGGGAUGUGGGGGACCCAGGGGCAGCAGUCCAGGUGCCACAGGCAACCUGGGACCGUAGAAAGCUGGGGACAAGGAAAGGACCUCAGACACUGCACAUCUGUAAGGUUAAAUCACUCUAGGACAGGGGUCCUCAAACUUUUUAAACAGGGGGCCAAUUCACUGUCCCUUAGA